AACGGCCGCGGUAUUUUGACCGUGCAAAGGUAGCAUAAUCAUUAGUCUUUUAAUAGAGGGCUGGUAUGAAAGGUUUGACGAGGUGCUGACUGUCUCAUUUAAUUUGAAAUUAAAAUUUAACUUUUCAGUCAAAAGGCUGAAAUAAUAUUGGAAGACGAGAAGACCCUAUAGAGCUUUAUAUUUAUCUUAUUAAUAAUUUUUUGUUUAUUAUUUUUCAUUAUUAUUAUAAAUAUUUUGUUGGGGUGACAAAAAUAUAAAAUUAACUUUUUUAUCUAUUAAACAUUAAUUUAUGAUUAUUAGAUCCAAUCUUAUUGAUUGUUAGAAUAAGUUACCUUAGGGAUAACAGCGUAAUCUUCCUCCAGAGUUCAUAUUUACAGGAAGGCUUGCGACCUCGAUGUUGGAUUAAGAUAAUAGUUAGGUGUAGCCGCUUAAUAUAUAGGUCUGUUCGAC
rnacentral:rRNA from 1 species